rnacentral:rRNA from 1 species
CAUUAACGCUGGCGGCGUGCCUAAUACAUGCAAGUCGAGCGAACAGACGAGGAGCUUGCUCCUCUGACGUUAGCGGCGGACGGGUGAGUAACACGUGGAUAACCUACCUAUAAGACUGGGAUAACUUCUGGAAACCGGAGCUAAUACCGGAUAAUAUAUUGAACCGCAUGGUACAAUAGAGAAAGACGGUUAUGCUGCCACUCUAUAGAUGGAUCCGCGCCGCAUUAGCCAGUUGGGAAGGUAACGGCUAACCAAGGCAACAAUGCGUAACCGACCUGAGAGGGUGAUCGGCCACAUUGGAACUGAGACACGGUCCAAACUCCAACGGGAGGCAGCAGGAGGGAAUCUUCCGCAAUGGGCGGUGGGGGGGCGGAGCAACGCCGGAUGAGAGAUGAAGGUCUUCGGAUCGUAAAACUCUGUUAUUAGGGAAGAACAAAUGUGUAAGUAACUAUGGACGUCUUGACGGUACCUAAUCACAAAGCCACGGCUAACUACGUGCCCUCCGCCUCGGGAAGACCGAAGGUGGCAAGCGUUAUCCGGAAUUAUUGGGCGCAAAGCGCGCGUAGUCGGCUUCUUAAGUCCGAAGCGAAACCUCACGGUUCAACCCUGAAAGAUCAUUGGAAACUGGAAAACUUGAGUGCAGAAGAGGAAAUCGGAAUUCCAUGUGUAGCGGUGAAAUGCACAGAGAUAUGGAGGAACACCAGUGGCGAACGCGACUUUCUGGUCUGUGACUGACGCUGAUGUGCGGAAGCGUGGGGAUCAAACAGGAUUAGAUGCCCUGGUAGUCCACGCCGGAAACGAUGAGUGCGUAAGGGUUAGGGGGCUUCCGCCCCUUACUGCUGCAGCUAACGCAUUAAGCACUCCGCCUGGGGAGUACGACCUCAAGGUUGAAACUCUAAGGAAUUGACGGGGACCCGCACAAACGGUGGAGCAUGUGGUUUAAUUCGAAGCAACGCGAAUAACAUUACCAAAUCUUGACAUCCUCUGAUCCCUCUAGAUAUAGAGGUUUCCCCUUGGGGGGACAGAGUGACAUGUGGUGCAUGGGUGCCUGCCGCGCGUGGCUGGAGAUGUUGGGUUAAGUCCCCCAACGAUCGCCUCCCUUUAAGCUUAGAUGCCAGCCUCAACUUGGGCACUCUAAGUGGACUGCCGGUGACAAUCCGGUAUGAAGGCGGGGAUUACUGCCAAUCAUGAUGCGCCUUAUGAUUUGGGGCACCGACCUGCUACAUGGGACUAUACUCACUGCGGCUAACCCCUCCUAGGUAAGUCGGAUUCCAUUCGAGUUUGUCUCCUGGCUUGGAUUGUAUUCUGCCGUUUAACCAUUAUGAAUCUGGAAUCGGCAUGCUUUCGCAGAAUCAGCAUGCUUGGCCGUGAAUUCCGUUCCCGGUUU